rnacentral:misc_RNA from 1 species
CGAGAUCAUACAUAAACAAAACACACAACCAAAGGUUGAUACUCUAGAUAGACUAGAACACAACUUAAUAUCAGUUGGCAAGCUGAUUUUGCCCCCAACCAUCUCAACUCACUCUCUCAAACCCUAUAAGAGAGACCAAGAAAGCGGAGAAAGAGGAUGAGCACUCCCAUAAUGUUGGCCCCUUCACUCCUUUCUCCCCAAACUCGCAAUCCUAUUAUUGUAAACUAAAAGCUUCUUACUUUCACACAGUGCGAAAGAAGGUGAAAAAAGCCCCUUCAAAGACUGUACUGAUACUCCGGUGUAUAACUGCACAGACCAGCUCUUAUGUCAUACUCUUUGUGACUUUGCUUCUUAGGCGAGCGUGUACCCCGAAACCCAGACAUCAGCUGGAGAGGCGGAAUGGAUGUAGACGAACUCAAGGCUCUUUCCAGCGGGCAGAGAGUUGAGCCAGGUCGGAAAACCAUAGCCAUUGCCAGACUUGUCGAGCCCCCAAAGUGGACCAUAGAGCUUAGAUAUCGAAACCUUGAUGUUCUUCACGGUCUUGGAUGAUUUGUUGGUAACGAUGACUGAGUACCUAUAGUAAGACUUGCCCUUGAAAAUCCACGAUGAUGUUGAUUUCUGUUCGACCAUGAAUGGAGAGGAUGCUGGUGCAGGUGAUGGUUUCGGCUGGGGUAUUGGUUUUGGCUUCGGAUUCUGUUUCGGCGCGCUGGGAGUGGGGAGAAUCGCGGGAAGGAGUUGGUUGAAACCGCCAUGGCCGCCGUUGAGACGAGCCAAUAUACCGAUAAGGGGGGCGUUGUUGUAGGUUGCUGGCUCAGUCUGCUCGAAAUUGUCUCUCUCAUCGGCAAAGUUGUCAUUGGCGUCUGGUCCACCGACAAUGGCGCCAUCCAAUAAGUUGGGGUCACUGGCCUUACGGCCGUACCAGGUCUCAUAUCCUCCCCUGCAGGUGACGAAGGUUGGGUUUACCUUG